rnacentral:rRNA from 1 species
GGAGUUAGCCGGUGCUUCUUCUGUGAGUGAUGUCCUUCCUGCCGGUUAUUGACCCGCAGGCCUUCUUCCUCACUGAAAGUGCUUUACAACCCGAAGGCCUUCUUCACACACGCGGCAUGGCUGGAUCAGGGUUGCCCCCAUUGUCCAAUAUUCCCCACUGCUGCCUCCCGUAGGAGUCUGGGCCGUGUCUCAGUCCCAGUGUGGCUGAUCAUCCUCUCAGACCAGCUACGGAUCGUCGCCUUGGUGAGCCGUUACCUCACCAACCAGCUAAUCCGACAUAGGCUCAUCCGAUAGCGCGAGGCCCGAAGGUCCCCCGCUUUCCCCCGUAGGGCGUAUGCGGUAUUAGCCUGGGUUUCCCCAGGUUAUCCCCCACUACCGGGCCAGAUUCCUAUGCAUUACUCACCCGUCCGCCGCUCGCCACCAGGGAGCAAGCUCCCCGUGCUGCCGCUCGACUUGCAUGUGUUAGGCCUGCCGCCAGCGUUCAAUCUGAGCCAGGAAUCGAAACCCUCGUACGUACGUAGACGGGCGGUCGGUCGGACGGACGGGCCGACGUAGU